CCAAAGACCUAGCCCCCCCACCCUAUUACCCACCUCCAUCUAACCAAAUAAACUAAAAUAUUUUAAAGACCUAGUAAAGACGAUUAAAAAGUCCUCCGGAGCAAUAAUUAUGUACCGCAAGGGAAAGUUGAAAUAAUAAUGAAACAACAAGCAUAAAACAGUAGAGACUUCCCCUUNNNNNNNNNNNNNNNNNNNNGCAAGUCCAAACCAAGCAAAAAGACUUCAAGUUUGACACCCCGAAACUAAGUGAGCUACUUUGAGGCAGCCUUACAGCUAACCCGUCUCUGUUGCAAAAGAGUGGGGAGACCCCAAAGUAGAGGUGAUAUGCCUAUCGAACUUAGUGAUAGCUGGUUGCUCAUGAAAAGAAUAUUAGUUCCACCUAAAAUCUCCACCCCAACAAACAAUGCCCGACUUUAGAGUAAUUCAAAUAGGGUACAGCCUAUUUGAAACAGGACACAACCUAAGCUGGAGGGUAAUUUAAUGCCGGCCCCCGAACAAGUAGGCUUAAGAGCAGCCAUCUUUAAAAAUGCGUCAAAGCUAACUAGCGGAACAGCAAUCCUAUAACAACACACAACCCCCUACCAAUAAUGAGUGAUUCUAUAAUCUAUAGAAGAAAUUAUGUUAAAACUAGUAACAAGAAGAAACAACCCUUCUCUUUUAUGUGAGCAUAAACCAGCCCGGAUAGCCCACUGGUAAUUAAUAGCAUUAAUAUCAAUGACAACUUCCUCCAGAAACCCCCAUUUACACACGCUAUUAACCUGACACAAGAAUAUACCAAGAAAGAUUAAACGACCAGGAAGGAACUCGGCAAACUAAGAUCCCGCCUGUUUACCAAAAACAUCGCCUCUUGACUUCAUAAGA
rnacentral:rRNA from 1 species